CUUUUCUUAUAAUAAAUUCAAUUUUGACAUCUAAGAUCUUCUUUUCUAAAAUACUUUUUAUAUUUAUAAAUGUCUCAAUGUCAGAUUGAAACUUGUAAGCAUGAUUCUUAUCUUUAGAUUUACUUAUGUCAUCUUUCUUCUUUUCUUUGUCUUUCUUCUACCACUCUUUUGGUAAUAAUAUACCACCAAGAUGAGUAGAAGAAGGUAUCUUCUCUUGUUUUUGCUCCUUAAAGGAUUCUUUGUUCUUAAGAGACUUCUUCUUAUUUUUAAGCUCAGCAACAUCCU
rnacentral:lncRNA from 1 species